rnacentral:siRNA from 1 species
GAUUUUGAUUUAAGGACUUUUGUG